GAAGAAAACACGCGGAUCCUCCCCCUUGGGUCGAGUCACCGCGCGGGUCUGGGCCAAAACGGCGCCGUUUGGAUUGGGUAUUUAAACCCAAAUUUCUUCAAAAAAAAUCAAUUCAGCCACUGUUUAAAAAAAAAUUUCAGAAACCUCUCCUUUCCUCUCCAAAAAUGGCCGGCCUUUGGGUAGCCAUAACGCCGCCACGCCACCGGUGCGCCCGCCGCACCGCCACCGUCUCCGACGGCCGACGAAGAUCGGCUUUUGAAGCCCUAUUUCCGGUGAAGCAGGUGGCGACGUGACGUGCAGCUUGGCGCGGCGGUGGCAGGAGGUCAGGGGUCAGAAGACCCUAGACCCUUUUUUUUUUGCUUUGGGUCGUUUGGGCCAUGGGAAAUUGGGCUAGACAUUGGGCUUUGGCAUGUAAUUGGGGUUUGGGUUGUAUUUGGGUUUGCCUGGGCCUUGUAAUUGGGCCUGCCUGGGCCCAGGGCGAAAUUGGGCUGUACACUGUUAUUAUGGGACUGAACCAAUUUAAAGAAUAAAAGUAGACAUGUCUUAAAUUGAUAACAUACAA